GGGGAGGAGGCUGGACACGUGAAGCCUGUCACAGCCUAGCCAAGCAACUUCUGCAGUCCGUGUUGAAAUCCUGCUGAAGAGAGGCUGGCUGCCAGGAGCUGCAGGCCUCCCAGAAAUGCCAUCCCAUGAUCCAUGGGCUCGUUUCCGCGCAUCAUGAAGAGUUUCACGAAAACAACGGGCACUGUCAUUUGAGGCCUGCGCUUUGACGGCUGCGCCAGGCCUUAGAAGAUGGCCGCUCAUUUGGAAUCUCCCCAGAAGACCUUUACCAAGUCAAAAGACACUCCCCAAACACCUGGCCCAACCCUGGUGGCUCCUGGUUUUACCUGAUCGGAUUACAAUCCCACCCAACACAGCUCUCGAACCACCCCAUAAUCUCGUGUUUCAGAGAGCCAGGAGGAGUUUCUUAGCAACCUUUUCAGAUGUAACCAAAAUGGCAUCUCCUAACACCCAGCUGGCAGGGUCGGUGUGCAGAUCCAGCAAUGGGACCCUGUACAACAUCUACCACAUGGUAGACACAGUGACGUGUCUUGUGUAGUGCAGCUGCUGUGCAUGGCAGAUCUUUGAACUGAAGUUUCCAGAGAAAAGCCACACCUACUGUAAAAGACUUCAGGACUGAAUGACUCCCGCUUCCCGCUUGUGGAGACCUGCAGGGGUCUGCAGUAAUAUUGGACUAUCUGUAAGUGCAUUUAGUAGCCAUUCAUUGUCUACUUCUGGUUUGAUCCAACAUCCCUUCAACUACCAGAUAAAACCUUUGGAACGUGUCCAUUUAACAGAUCCCCGUCCUCCACCAGCCUAAAAGCUAGGAAUGCCGUCGCGGAACAUCGGAACCCUGUGCUGGAGACUCCCCCGCUUCGCUGUGACAUACCUGUCUGCAGUCCUCAUAACUGUCUUUGGCAACACAGCCUGCUGUCCUUCUGUGACUAUGAAUGCUCGUGUAACUUCUUCCACUGUGGGACACACUAUUUGGGGCCACCUGAAUCUACAUUCCUAGGCCAUAGUCACUCAUGUUUGACUGAGAAUAAAUAAUCUCAUUCCCUUAAAGUGGUAGCUGUAAUUUUCUCCACACACCCUAGUGACCCAGAACUGUCCCAGCAAGCCAGAGAGCAUAUGGCCACUCAGUGAAAGGCCCAGCACAGUACGUAGCCCUUUGACAAGUCCUCAGUGAUGAUACUCAUGGAAUGGUAUGUCCCCAGCAAGCAGUGGCCCAUGCUGGACAUAGAUCAAAAAACAAGGGCUCUGCAUCAGACUCCUGGACGGGACCAGGGCAAAAGGACUCAGACUGUACAGCUAUAUUCUGAGGAGAGCCAGAGAGGCCAGAGCCUCACGACACCAUGACCGCCAGAAGCCUGUGAUAGGAAAGAGUGAAGAAGUAGCUCCUUUUCCAGAACCUCUGUAGGAAAGGCCUUGCUUGACCUGCCCCCUCUUAGAUUUUUGUCCCAUGGGAGCAAUUAAAGCCAGCUUUAAACAAGGCAGAAGCUGUGGUAGCUUGGGUCUGAUCUUCCUCUAGCAGGUCUUGUGGCAAUGUCCUACUGCAGUUGUUCUCAACCUUCCU
rnacentral:sRNA from 1 species